CCCUUUGUGGUGUAGUUGGUAUCACACUCGGCUGUAAUGGAACAUUUCAGUAGACCGAUUGGUCACCGGUUCGACUCCGGUCGAAGGGA